rnacentral:rRNA from 1 species
AUUGAACGCUGGCGGCAUGCUUUACACAUGCAAGUCGAACGGUAACAGGUUAAGCUGACGAGUGGCGAACGGGUGAGUAAUGCAUCGGAACGUGCCCGGUCGUGGGGGAUAACGCAGCGAAAGGUGCGCUAAUACCGCAUACGAUCUGAGGAUGAAAGCGGGGGACCGUAAGGCCUCGCGCGAUCGGAGCGGCCGAUGUCAGAUUAGGUAGUUGGUGGGGUAAAGGCUCACCAAGCCAACGAUCUGUAGCUGGUCUGAGAGGACGACCAGCCACACUGGGACUGAGACACGGCCCAGACUCCUACGGGAGGCAGCAGUGGGGAAUUUUGGACAAUGGGCGAAAGCCUGAUCCAGCAAUGCCGCGUGCAGGAAGAAGGCCUUCGGGUUGUAAACUGCUUUUGUACGGAGCGAAAAGGUCUCCUCUAAUACAGGGGGCUCAUGACGGUACCGUAAGAAUAAGCACCAGCUAACUACGUGCCAGCAGCCGCGGUAA